CUCGACUAUGUUUCAAAUAAUGAACUUUAUUUUUUUUUCCUUUUUUUGAGACAGGGCCUCACUAUGUCACCCAGGCUGGAGUGCAGUGGCACAAUCUUGGCUCACUGCAACCUUUGCCUCCUGAGCUCAAGUGAUCCUUCCACCUAAGCCUCCCAAGUAGCUGGGACCACAGGUGUGCACCACAACGCUGGGCUAAUUUUUGUACUUUUUUUUGUAGCGAUAGGGUUUUGCCAUGUUGCCCAGGCUGGUCUCAAACUCCUGGGCUCAAGUGAUCCUCCCGUCUCAGCCUCCCAAAAUGCUGGGAUUACAGGUGUGAACCACCACACCCAGCCUCAAAUGAUGAACUUCUUAAAAGGCUUGUCCCUGGGCAUACAUCAUGCACAGUUCAUGCAGCAAAUAGGCUGCAUAAGGCAGUAGCCCUUUUAGACACAACAGUUGUUCCUUCUUGGAAACGAGGACCUGAGAGAGCCAUGGAAACCUCUGUCAAGUUAAAAACAUUCUACACACAAUGGGAUUCUCUGCAGAUAGCUGAAAAAGAGGAUGACAUAAUCAGAGUGUGUUUUAGAAAGAAUAAUUGGCUAGGUGUGGUGGCUCAUACCUAUAAUCCUAGCACUCUGGUAGCUGGAGGCGGGAGGAUCACUUGAGGCCAGGAGUUCAAAACCAGCCUGGGCAACAUCGUGAAAUCCCAUCUCUGUAAAAAACAAACAAACAAAAACAACAACAACAAAAAAAUUAGCUGGCUGUGCUGGCAUGUGCUUAUACUCCCAGCUACUUAGGAAGCUGAGCCAUGACUGUGCCAUUGCAUUCCAGCCUGAGUGACAGAGUGAGACCCCAUCUUAGGAAAAAAAAAAAAGAAAAAAAGAAAGAAAAAUUGUCUUAAGAGUGUAAAACAGAUUGUGAGACAGGAUGGAAUAUAAUGACAGACAUGAAGACAGAAUGAAGGAAACAGCUUCUAAAAAGUAGAGGAACAGAAGAGAGAGCUACUCUUCAGUAUGUGUACCGUUUUGCUCUCUAGAUUUUUCUGACAGGUACCUUUUUUUUUUUUUUUUUGAGAUGGAGUCUCGUUCUGUCACCCAGGCUGGAGUGCAAUGGUACCAUCUCAACUCACUGCAAUCUCCGCCUCCCGGGUUGAAGCAAUUCUCCCACCUCAGCCUUCCAAGUAGCUGGAACUACAGGCGUGCGCCACCACGCCUGGCUAAUUUUUGUAUUUUUACUAGAGACAGGGUUUCACCACGUUGGCCAGACUGCUCUCGAACUCCUGACCUCAAGUGAUCUGCCCGUCUUGGCCUCCCAAAGUGCUGGGAUUACAGGCAUGAGCCAUGGUGCCUGGCCUCUGACAGGUACAUUUUAAAAAAUAAAUGGAUUUCUGCUUGCAGGAAGAUGGAGUAGACAUACUUUUUCCUAUUACUCUAUGGACAUUAUAUAUAAAAUAAACAUAAGAAGACUCUGAGAAAUGAAGAGGAAGACUGACUGGCCAGGCACCUUGGGACCCAAGGAACAACACAGUAAGGAGUCCAUUUGGGGAACUUGGACUUCAAACCCAA
rnacentral:lncRNA from 10 species